rnacentral:rRNA from 1 species
AUUGAACGCUGGCGGCAUGCCUUACACAUGCAAGUCGAACGGUAACGCGGGGCAACCUGGCGACGAGUGGCGAACGGGUGAGUAAUGCAUCGGAACGUGCCCAGUAGUGGGGGAUAGCCCGGCGAAAGCCGGAUUAAUACCGCAUACGACCUACGGGUGAAAGCGGGGGACUCGCAAGAGCCUCGCGCUAUUGGAGCGGCCGAUGCCAGAUUAGCUAGUUGGUGGGGUAAAGCCUACCAAGGCGACGAUCUGUAGCUGGUCUGAGAGGACGACCAGCCACACUGGGACUGAGACACGGCCCAG